ensembl:lncRNA
CUGGCUUGCUCCUGGGGGGCCUGCGGGAGUGGGGAGAAAUGAGGUGGGCUGGGAAUGAGCUGCUGGCAGCCCAUCGGCGGUGGGGGGGUGCACAGUCCCCCUUCAGAUCCUGCCCAGGGGUGAUGCGUAGGAGUUAGCAGACUGACAUCAUAAAGGCAAACUUGCGCUCGUGGCCUCUUGUUCUCCUGAGCCAGACCCUGUGUCAUCCAUGCUUGACCAAUCUGAGCAUCUACUGAAGAACAGGGGAAACGACCUGAGAAUUGAGGGACAAUCUUUACAACGAAAUGGCUUGGCCGUGUCUCCCGUUUUUGGAGAAGUGCGCAGAGAGGACUUCCGGUCAAGACAGCACUAGAAUGCAAGAAGACUAGUCUUUCCGUGUGUCCUCAAAUCCCUUCCGUGGAGUGUGGCUACCACAGAGAUGGGAUGCUGGAAUGACAACAGCCGUGCCCACAGACAGCAGUAAACUCAUUCCUAACCAUCGUAGCGUGCUUUCCGGGUGUCACAGGCCUUGUAUUUGAGCUCACAGUGAUGCGUCGAGAAAGGCAAGCGGACGGUAUUGCUCUCAUUCUGCAGGACUGACUUCCAGAUACAUGUUGUUCUUGGGAGGCACGUGGACGUUCCAGCCAGAGUGGCUGGGGUGAGGAGCAGAGGCUGGGAACAGAAGGCUGACCUCGUGCUGGGGGUUUACCAGAGGGCACACCGUCAGCUGGAGCUUUCCAUCUCCAGAGGAGUGGAGUGAGGGAUGGAAAUCUUUCUUUAAAAUGGUUCCUGCUUGAGAGUUAAUUGGCAGAGGGAAAAAGGAGAUAGAACCUCCCACGGUCAUCAGCUCGCCACCUGCUGCCUCAUCAAUCGUGCUCCUGCCUACGCCAAGCCUGGAGGUGGAGAGCUGCCACGCCGGACUGUCUGUGUGGGUCUGUAGACCUCAGACACCCUCCCUGAACCAGGAGGAGCCGGUGCACAGCCAGUUGUGGAAUUCAGGGAAUGGAAAAGUUCAUCUGCCAAUUGUCACAGAAAAUAGAAGGAAUGAGAAACCCAUAAAUGGCUUUUAAUUUCUCAUAGAAAUGCCGUACCUCAAGUCUGGUGAAGUCAGCUUGUGUGAAAUCCCACUGGAGUUCUGUCCUCAGCGUCCCAUGUAGGGAGUUGGGGUUGUCUUGCCGGGACGAAUCACCCCACUGUUGAAUAAAGAAAGUGUAGUUCCGGAGAAUCAGUGACUUUCAUUGGUCACACACCCCGUGAGGUGGAGCACUUCAGAGCCAGGUGUCAGGACUCUCCCGCCGCAUCCAUUUCCCUCAGCUGCCAUACGACUGAGGAAGGCUGUGGGUGAAGCUGCUCUGUGGGGCUCCACGAGGAACCCGAAAUUGGCUGAAAUGAUUCCUGCCAACUUCUGACAGCUGCCGGAGACUUGAAUGUGGUCUUAUCAAAAAAACUACCUCAGAAGUUUUCUUCCUGAAAUGAUGUAUUACAAGCGUCCGUGAUUCCUCAGAAGGAAGUGAUUUCGAUUCUGUUCCGGAGUCUGUUUCCUAGGUAAAAGGAUGACAACAGAGCUGAAUUCCUUGGGCUUUCCUCCCUUCUGAAGAUCACAGUGGAAACUAUCAUGCCACAUUAGGGCAGGUCCAGAGAAUCAUCAAAGUGUUUUUUUCCCCUUGUCUUGGAGGUUCGGGUGGAUUUGAAAAGUGCUCGUGUUUGAAAGUGUAACACAUACAUUAACACGUGUAAAAGGCAGCACGAUCACAUAAUGGGGCAUUAAAACGUCGGCAAGAUCAAAUAGAAGCUCAGCGUAUCUGUAUUUUCUGGGGGUUGGCAGGGAAAGAACCACCUGCCGGGGCGCACUCAUUGUGUGGCGGUUCUCAUUGUGUAUCUGCUCAACGUGAAUGCAAAGCCACAGUGCAUUGUGCAGAAAUGCUCUCUGCUUUCCUUCAGGGAUGGGUAAGACGUGGGCGGCCAAAGCAUGAUCUGUCUGCUGUUGCAGACAUUAAUCAAGGUCGAGGGAAGGUGAGCGUUGGAAGCCAGGAGAAGAUUUUCCCUUGAUCUCAGCUGAUGCAUACAAACCAGAAGGAGGAAAUUCUGUGGCAGGCCGUGGCAAGUGAAGACCAGCAUCAUCGUGGGGCCAUUCUGUAACGAUGCUAGGAACAGAAUAAGGGAAGUAAGUGGAGGAUAAACUGGGUCCAUUGCUGGACCAUUCUACGAACCUCUGCUGCUUCUGCCACCUAGGGACGCGCUCUGGGACUGGUGACAGAGGAAGGAAGAGCCACUUUUCUUGUCUGUGACAGACACUGCUAAUGCUCUCUGAUACCUGUGUUGUCCUCUUCUUGGGCCCUCAGGCAGAUCACAUUUUUCAGCAUCAAGGAGCAGCAUCUCACACUGGGCAAGGGAGCUACACAAUAGGAUGAUGUCCUGGAGGCAGGAUUUUGAGCAGCAUAACAGCCCAGUGGGAAACAUUAUUAUUGAGUCCUA